rnacentral:lncRNA from 1 species
CGUGCUUUAUGGAGCUAAGCCUUGCCCAGAAGAGGAAAGAAGACAGCAGAGACAGCUCAGGGAGUGUGGCAGGAUGCUGUCAUGACCCUGUGUAAGACUCCAGCUGAGUGCUGUGUGUAUUUAUAGACACACACACACACAGACACGCAGGCAUGGGAAACGUGCCCUGGAACAAACGUACUGUUUGUUUCCUGGAAACAUGCCCUUCCUUGCCAACUUGCCAGAUUUCCCAGAUCACAUCAUCCUGAAGCAGGGAAAAUUAUGUCUUCUUAUUCCUGGCAUCCACCUGCCACAUGAAGAGAGAUCUUUGGAAAACGGAUCUGACCACUUCUCUGCCCUUUGGAAGACUGGAGCAAUUUCACCUUGUCCUCAGGGAACGAGCUUAAAUUCUCGUGAUGCUGAGAAGAGGGCAGGAGCGGAUAAGUCAAGCACACAAACCAUGGAGAAAAACUUAAGGAUACUUUCCACACCCCAAGCAACAGGCACAUCCCUCUGGGGUGCAACCUAGGUAAGUAAGCCCUGACCACACAGGGGUAUGGAUGCCCUCGGCUGCCUAAGGAGAAGCUUGAUUUGAGGUCUAAGGAAGGCAUCUCCCUUGUGGAAAUGGUACCUGACGGUGACCUGGGCUCUGUGGGGGUGGUAGGCAGAUGUAACAACGUGUGUGGUCGCACCGUUUACAAUACCACACCUUCAUAACCAACCACAUCUCAUUUGAUCCUUUUUUUUUUUUUUUGGUCUUUUUUUUAGGGCCACACCUGCAGCAUAUGGAAGUUCUGGGACUCAGGGUGGAAUCAGAGCUGCUGCGCAGCUGAGGGGCAACAUGGGAUCCGAGCCACAUCUGCAACCUACACCGCAGCUUGUGGCAACGCCAGAUCCUUUAACUCACUGAGCGUAGCCAGGAUCAAACCCAAAUCCUCACAGAUACUAACUGGGUUCUUCGCACACUGAGCCACAGCAGAAACUCCACACAUUUCAUGUGACCCCAGUGCCUACUCUCUAGGUAGCUUCCUCACCCUCAUUUCUCAGAUGAGGGAAACUGAGGCUCACAGAAUUUUCUGAGUGGCCAGAAACCCAGGGUUUCUGACACACGGUCUUUCCCUUACACGGCAGUUUGGCCUGGGGAAGUCAUGCAAAAUCUCACAGAGCAGGAAACCAUGACUUCUACAGAGACGGCUUCCUCCCAACCCUGGGCAAGGCCCACGGCUGAUGCAAAGUCAUGGUGGUAAAAAGGGAGUGUGCAGGGGGCCACGCUGAUGAGGGCUGGUGGCUGGAUAGCGGCAGGAGCAGCCAAGGGUACUAGGGGGCUGAGCUGGACUAGGCUACUCACCCAGGGUGUGGCUCAGUGCCCAAGGAGAACAGUGAGGCUAUGACUGGCCUAGGGGCUGCCCUGUGCCCAGGAGCAGGGGGCCUAGCCUGAGGGAGGCCUGACUGUAUCCAGGUCUUUGAUGACCACGGGUAAAGAUAAGAUAAAGCCAGUCUCUUAUUUUUAAGCCAGUCAAAGAGAGGACGGCUGUUUUUUGUUUCCAAGAACCAGCAGCGGAAGAGGAAAUGGGUUGGGGGGAAGGGGGAGAGGUUAGGGGAGGGGGAGUUGGAUUAGAGCUCUAGCUGGAAGGAAGUGGAAAGAGUUGUCAAAGAAUUUCCCUGUUAGCCAGAAUGUUUGCACUCCUCCUGGUGGGUGUGGGCUCCAGGUACUCAGAGGUUUCUCCCAACCCUGCCUAAAACUAGGCAGCCCAAAAAACUAGUCAGUCACCCUGCAUAGAUGCAGCUGAUGGGGGGGCGGGGGUGAUGGGAACAGCAGGAAUCCUUGAGUCUGAGCAGUGCCAGGACUUGGCUCCCCUCCUUUGCUCUUUCUGUCCUCCUCUCUUCCCCUUCCUCCCAAAGAGCAGAGCCCGCUUCCCAAAUUCUGUUAAGGCCAUCACCAGAACAGACAAAAAGGAACUAGCUCUUAUUUAGCUCUGAAUAUAUAGCCUUCCUAGGCUAGGCACGGUGGUCAUGAAAUGAAAUGAAAAAGGGACAUAUUUCCCACACUGAGGAGUGGUCCAUGAGGCAAAGGAGAGUCACAAGAUGAAAGGAAAGCCAUCAAGAGAGCUGUAAGCAAAAUGCCCUGAAGCUAUGAAAAAAAACACUUAGGAGCAGGGAGAGCAAUAAGAAUUGGCGCUGAGGCUGAGAAAAGAGAAUUCACUAAGUGGAGAACUGGUCCAUGAGGACAGUUUCAAAGACUUUUCACAAAUUUUGAUUCCCUUGACUUUCACAAAAGGGGAAAGCAGCCAGAAAGUAUUCUCCCCAUUUUAGUGAUAAGGAAACUGAGGCCUGGGAGAGAGCACAGCCAGGACAGAAACACCUCUCUUUUGCUUCGGCCCUCACUGCCCUUAAUCUGGGGCCAGGCUGAGAUCUGAACGGAGGAGGAAAUGGCAGAGGUGAUGAGGUUCUAGAGGCAGAAGAAAACUGAGGGACAGGGGACCCCUAAAGUCAACCCUGGAACAUCUGAUGAGCCUCACUAACUUUCCAUGUGAGGUCCUGGAGAGAACUUCUAUUACUGCUACUGCUACUAGCAGUAAUAACAGUUACCAUUUAUUAUUUACCUUGUGCCAAAUGUAUAUACAGAUUGCAGAAGAGAUUAAUGCACAAAAUGCUUUAGAAACAUGAUCCCUUUUCAUCUUCAAAAGAACCAACAAGAUAAAUACUUUUAUUUCUAUUUUCCAAACAAGAAAAUUGAGGUUCAGAGAGGUCAGAAAGUUGCCUGAAAACUCCUAGGGAGUGGCAGAGUUGGGAUUCCCAAGGCCACACUCUUUGUCUGAGUUCUUUCUCUCCUCUUCUUGGUAAGUUUGGCUAGUGGUUUGUCAAUUUUGUUUACCCUUUCAAAGAACCAGCUCUUGGUUUUACUGAUUUUUUUCUAUUGUUUUUUGAAUUUCUAUUAUACUGAUUUUCUCUGAUAUUUACCCUUCUGCUGACUCUAGGUUUUGUUUGUUCUUCUUUUUCUAAUUCUUUUAGAUGGUUGGUUAAGUUGUCAAUUGGAGAUUUUUCUUCUUUUUUGAGGAAAGCCUGUAUUGCCAAGACCACACUCUUAGCCACAGUCAGCCCUGCCCAGGUGGGACACCCCGUGCUUUUAUUCCUCAAUACUUUUAUCAUCGUCCCGUCCUAGAACACUGGCCCCUGAAGAAGAAAGGCCUCUGUUCUGCAUUCUUUUAAAUUCCCAGGUUUAAAACCACUUUUACUCCCCAUCACUCCCAACCCCCAGCCUAGCUAGGCCUCAGGGGCAAGACAAGGUUCACAGCCAAGGCAAAGUGGCCAGGUCCUAAGCAGAUUCCCUGACAAGGGAGAGCCACUAUCUGCCCCCCAGACCUGGGAUUCCCACUCUUUGACUGGGCCCGGAGCUUGGGGUAGAGUGAGGUUUUCACCCAGGCAGUUCUCCACCAGGGGAAGUAAAGAGAGGAAGUGGGUCUAAAGUAGGGCAGGGAGAGUGGGUGGAUGAGAACAGUGGGUGGGAAGGGACAGUUUGGGAGGCCCUGGGGACUUUCCCCUAUGCUCCUCCCCCACACAGGGCAGCCAAGCUCCCAACACCCUCCCAUCCAUCCAUGUCCUGUUGCCCUCACACCCUCUGCAAAGUACCCCUUCUUCCUGCGUCUUAGACCUUUUAGUACUCAUUUCUCCCCUCGCCCAUCCCUACCUCUCAACUCCAGGUGAGAGGAGGCAGGCUAUGCACACCUGAUCAAGCUGGACUCAGAAAUGAGACACCCCCCUCCACCCCCCACACCCAUUGGAGGCUCCCGUUCAUUGGAGGCUCCAUGAAGAAGCCUGGUUGAAAUGACAGUCCUGGGCUUCUCUGGGGAUUUCUUCAUUUUCUGUUUCCUGGCCUCUGCCUGGCACUAGACCCCUGACCCUCCUCUUUUAGGCUUCUUCCCCUUCAGCGCCUCGGGGCCCACCUCUUUCUGUUUGACUUGGCUAGGGAAGUGGUGGGAGACGGCUCGGUAAAAACAGAAGCCAGUCCCUUACAGCAGCGCCUCUAGUUAGACUUUCUGUGGCUCUCUGGAAGCACAAGUGCCAAGAGUCUUGUUUGUUUGUUUAACAAAGAAACGUGGAGAGAUGUGAUUGUUCUCAAACAUCCACCAGCCAAGUUCCUCCUCUGUCUCCAACGUAAAAAUACACACCAUGGCUGUAACGUGAAAUGCACAUCCUUGACACCCGUGAGAUAAAACAGCCAGCAAACACACUUGAACGUCCAAAGAUAAGAUCGCCCAGAAUAGAUACCUGCGCCCACACGGGGACAGAAAGCGAUCACGCACGCGACCCCCAGUGUUGCACCCGCGUUUACACAAAGAGCGUAAAGGCGAGACAGGGGUGGCCGUCUGGGAAGGGGUUAAGCCGCGGCGGCCCCCGCCCGCCCCCUCUUCCCUCUUCCUUCCCCCACC